rnacentral:rRNA from 1 species
UACGUAGGGGGCAAGCGUUGUCCGGAAUCAUUGGGCGUAAAGCGCGCGUAGGCGGCCCUGUAAGUCCGUUGUGAAAGUCGAAGGCUCAACCUUCGAAAGCCGAUGGAUACUGCAGGGCUAGAGUCCGGAAGAGGCGAGUGGAAUUCCUGGUGUAGCGGUGGAACGCGCAGAUAUCAGGAGGAACACCGAUGGCGAAGGCAGGUCUCUGGGCAUUAACUGAUGCUGAGGAGCGAAAGCAUGGGGAGCGAACAGG